rnacentral:rRNA from 1 species
UACAGAGGGUCUCAAGCGUUGUUCGGAUUCAUUGGGCGUAAAGGGUGCGUAGGCGGCGCGGUAAGGUCGGGUGUGAAAUCUUGGAGCUUAACUCCGAAACUGCAUUGCGAUACUGCCGUGCUUGAGGACUGGAGAGGAGACUGGAAUUUACGGUGUAGCGGUGAAAUGCGUAGAUAUCGUAAGGAAGACCAGUGGCGAAGGCGGGUCUCUGGACAGUUCCUGGACGCUGAGGCACGAAGGCCAGGGGGAG